rnacentral:rRNA from 1 species
ACGGCGAGUGAAGCGGCAAGAGCUCAAAUUUGAAAUCUGGCCUCCUCCGGGGGUCCGAGUUGUAAUUUGCAGAGGAUGCUUCGGGUGCGGCCCCCGUCUAAGUUCCUUGGAACAGGACGUCAGAGAGGGUGAGAAUCCCGUUUUGGGCGGGCGGCCCGCGCCCGUGUGAAGCUCCUUCGACGAGUCGAGUUGUUUGGGAAUGCAGCUCUAAGCGGGUGGUAAAUUUCAUCUAAAGCUAAAUACUGGCCGGAGACCGAUAGCGCACAAGUAGAGUGAUCGAAAGGUUAAAAGCACCUUGAAAAGGGAGUUAAACAGCACGUGAAAUUGUUGAAAGGGAAGCGCUUGCGGCCAGACUCGGGGGCGGGGUUCAGCGGGCGCUCGUCGCCCGUGCACUCCCCGCGCCCCGGGCCAGCAUCAGUUUCGACGGCCGGUCAAAGGCCCCCGGAAUGUGUCGUCUCUAGGGACGUCUUAUAGCCGGGGGUGCAAUGCGGCCCGUCGGGACUGAGGAACGCGCUCCGGCUCGGAUGCUGGCGUAAUGGCCGUAAGCGGCCCGUCUUGA